UUUAUUUUUCUGUGUUCAAGGUUUAACUAUUCGUCUUAUUUAAAAAAAAUUUAUUCUUAUCAGAUGAUAAAACAUAAAUAGUACUUUAUGCGUGACUAAUUUUUUUAAGUAUUUAUAUAAAUUUUUUAAAUAAGACGAAUGGUUAAACGUUGGGAACGCAAAAAC
rnacentral:pre_miRNA from 1 species